AAGACUAUAGACCUGCGGAGUACCUGCGGAAGGAUCAUUACUGAAGUGAUUUGGGGAUGUUGCUGGCCCUCUCUCAAGGGGGGGCACUGUGCACUCCUCGAAACAAUUCACAAUUUCCAUCACACCCCUUGUGCACACCUUGUAGGCACCCAAACCCACCUCCGGGUGGUGGGGUCCUAUGUAUUCCUUCAUCUCACACUCUGUUGAAUGGUGCCAUGGGACGCAUCUAAAGGAUUAUUU
rnacentral:misc_RNA from 1 species